GUCCACGCCGUAAACGUUGGGCACUAGGUGUGGGCUCUUACCAACGGAGUCCGUGCCGUAGCUAACGCAUUAAGUGCCCCGCCUGGGGAGUACGGCCGCAAGGCUAAAACUCAAAGGAAUUGACGGGGCCCGCACAAGCGGCGGAGCAUGUUGCUUAAUUCGAUGCAACGCGAAGAACCUUACCUGGGUUUGACAUGUAGGGAAAAGCCGUGGAGACACGGUGUCCUUCGGGGCCUUACACAGGUGGUGCAUGGCUGUCGU
rnacentral:rRNA from 1 species